rnacentral:rRNA from 1 species
GAUGAACGCUGGCGGCGUGCCUAAUACAUGCAAGUCGAGCGAACAGACGAGGAGCUUGCUCCUCUGACGUUAGCGGCGGACGGGUGAGUAACACGUGGAUAACCUACCUAUAAGACUGGGAUAACUUCGGGAAACCGGAGCUAAUACCGGAUAAUAUAUUGAACCGCAUGGUUCAAUAGUGAAAGACGGUUUUGCUGUCACUUAUAGAUGGAUCCGCGCCGCAUUAGCUAGUUGGUAAGGUAACGGCUUACCAAGGCAACGAUGCGUAGCCGACCUGAGAGGGUGAUAGGCCACACUGGAACUGAGACACGGUCCAGACUCCUACGGGAGGCAGCAGUAGGGAAUCGUCCGCAACGGGCGAAAGCCUGACGGAGCAACGCCGCGUGAGUUAUGAAGGUCUUGGGAUCGUAAAACUCUGUUAUUAGGGAAGAACAAAUGUGUAAGUAACUAUGCACGUCUUGACGGUACCUAAUCAGAAAGCCACGGCUAACUACGUG